GGGGCCAGGUGGGGACCAGGAGCAGCAGGGGAGAUGCCAAGAGUCAACAGAUGGGGAAAAAAAAAAACAAGAAACACAAAAUGAGAAACCCAAUUGUUUGAGUGGGAGAAUUUACCUUCUAGCUGAUUUUUACAAUAUUUCCUCAUCUCAAAACAAGAAAACAAACAAGACUGUCCUUAGAUGAAAAGUCCUUGUUUUCACUUCUAAGAUGUCAGAGAAUGAAAAGAGAGAAAAGUAAUUUCAGUGCCCAGAAGUAGAAAUGCCUGUGUGAUCGUUUCCAAACAAUACCAGUUGCUUUUGAGGUCAACAGGAGGAUGUGAAGGCUGAUUCUGCUGUUUCUAACUCACAGGUCUGACAAAAAACAAGACUUCAGAGACAAAUUACAGAACAGCAGAAGAAAUAAGAUGGCUGUGAAUCCCAGAGAAAGGAUCAGAGGUGAAUGGCAUGAAGAGAUGCGGUUGGGAGAGAAACAAAAGUGAACAAAACAAAGGGAAAUGUCUUAAUCAGAACAUACCUAGAAAUGUAAUUAUUAAAUACAGAAAGGUGUCACAGGGUCUAGGGAACAAUCUUAAUGAAUAUUCACAGAGUGCAAACCAAGCUAUUGUCAGAUAUAAAAACACAAGUCUGAUUCUCUAAUCUCUUCCAGGUUAUAAUAGUUAAUAUACUUAUGAAAACGAAUCAAUCCUUCUUAUAUAUUUGAUAUAAAACUCCUUAAAUGUAAGAAGAAAUACAGUAGUCCUCCACUUACCCAUGGUUUUGAUUUCUACGGUUUCAGUUACCUUCAGUCUGGAAGUAAGUGAACCUCCUUCUGACUAUCCUCAGAAGGUCAAUAGUAGCCUAACGCAUUGUCACAAUGCCUACAUCACUCACCUCACUUCCUCUCAUUGAGUAGGUAUUUUAUCGCCUCACAUCAUCACAGGAAGAGGAAGGGUGAGUGCAGGACAAUAAAAAGUCUUGAAAAGGAGAGAAAGACCACAUUCAUAUAGCUUUUGUUACAGUAUAUUUUAUAAUUGUUGCAUUUUAUUAUUAGUUAGUGUUAAUCUCUUACUAUGUCUAAUUUACAAAUUAAACUUUAUCAUAGGUAUAUAUGUAUAAUAAAAUACAUAGUAUAUAUAGGGUUUGAUACUAUCUAUGGUUUCAGGUAUCUGAAGUCUGGGAAUGUAUCCCCCACCACUAAGGGGUGACAGCCAUAGAACUGUGUAUAAACAACAAAAUUAGCAGACCCCGAGACUUUGGUCGCCUUUAUUUAGCAUAUUAAAUAUAUAUUUACCAAAUCAAAAGUACCUUUACCGUCUUGUUUUACCCAGUAUUCAUUCAGAGGAAAAAUUUGUUAAAUAUUCUCCAACCCAAUAAUUUCAAUAGUUUCCAAUGUGCCUUAAGCAAUAAUAAUUAACU